UACGGGGGGGGCAAGCGUUGUUCGGAAUUAUUGGGCGUAAAGAGCGUGUAGGCGGCUAGAUAGGUCCGUUGUGAAAACUCGAGGCUCAACCUCGAGACGCCGGUGGAAACCAUCUAGCUAGAGUCCGGAAGAGGAGAGUGGAAUUCCUGGUGUAGCGGUGAAAUGCGCAGAUAUCAGGAAGAACACCGGUGGCGAAGGCGGGACUCUGGGCCGAUACUGACGCUGAGGAGCGAAAGCGUGGGGAGCGAACAGG
rnacentral:rRNA from 1 species